AGUGAACGCUGGCGGUAGGCCUAACACAUGCAAGUCGAACGGCAGCACAGUAAGAGCUUGCUCUUACGGGUGGCGAGUGGCGGACGGGUGAGGAAUACAUCGGAAUCUACUUUUUCGUGGGGGAUAACGUAGGGAAACUUACGCUAAUACCGCAUACGACCUACGGGUGAAAGCAAGGGAUCUUCGGACCUUGCGCGAUUGAAUGAGCCGAUGUCGGAUUAGCUAGUUGGCGGGGUAAAGGCCCACCAAGGCGACGAUCCGUAGCUGGUCUGAGAGGAUGAUCAGCCACACUGGAACUGAGACACGGUCCAGACUCCUACGGGAGGCAGCAGUGGGGAAUAUUGGACAAUGGGCGCAAGCCCGAUCCAGCCAUACCGCGUGGGUGAAGAAGGCCUUCGGGUUGUAAAGCCCUUUUGUUGGGAAAGAAAAGCAGCAGGUUAAUACCCCGCUGUUCUGACGGUACCCAAAGAAUAAGCACCGGCUAACUUCGUG
rnacentral:rRNA from 1 species